rnacentral:rRNA from 1 species
UACGGGGGGGGCAAGCGUUGUUCGGAAUUACUGGGCGUAAAGGGCUCGUAGGUGGCCUACUAAGUCAGACGUGAAAUCCCUCGGCUUAACCGGGGAACUGCGUCUGAUACUGGAUGGCUUGAGUUUGGGAGAGGGACGCGGAAUUCCAGGUGUAGCGGUGAAAUGCGUAGAUAUCUGGAGGAACACCGGUGGCGAAGGCGGCGUCCUGGACCAACACUGACACUGAGGAGCGAAAGCCAGGGGAGCAAACGGG